UACGAAGGGAGCUAGCGUUGUUCGGAAUUAUUGGGCGUAAAGAGCUCGUAGGCGGUUUGUCGCGUCUGCUGUGAAAGUUCGGGGCUCAACCCCGGAACUGCAGAGGGUACGGGCAGACUAGAGAGCGGUAGAGGAGACUGGAAUUCCUGGUGUAGCGGUGGAAUGCGCAGAUAUCAGGAGGAACACCAGUGGCGAAGGCGGGUUUCUGGGCCGCAACUGACGCUGAGGAGCGAAAGCGUGGGGAGCGAACAGG
rnacentral:rRNA from 1 species